GGCGGCGGGUGAAUAACACGUAAGAAUUUGCCUUUAGGAGGGGGACAACAACUGGAAACGGUUGCUAAUACCCCAUAUGCUUUCGAGUGAAAUGGAUUUCCGCCUAAAGAGAAGCUUGCGGCUGAUUAGCUUGUUGGUGAGGUAAUGGCUCACCAAGGCGACGAUCAGUAUCUGGUUUGAGAGGACGAUCAGACACACUGGGACUGAGACACGGUCCAGACUCCUACGGGAGGCAGCAGUGGGGAAUUUUCCGCAAUGGGCGAAAGCCUGACGGAGCAAUACCGCGUGAGGGAUGACGGCCUAUGGGUUGUAAACCUCUUUUUUCAGGGAGGAAUCAAUGACGUGUACCUGAAGAAUAAGCAUCGGCUAACUCCGUGCCAGCAGCCGCGGUAAGACGGAGGAUGCAAGUGUUAUCCGGAAUCACUGGGCGUAAAGCGUCUGUAGGUGGUCAAAUAAGUCAACUGUUAAAUCUUGAGGCUCAACCUCAAAAUCGCAGUCGAAACUAUUAGACUAGAGUAUAGUAGGGGUAAAGGGAAUUUCCAGUGGAGCGGUGAAAUGCGUAGAGAUUGGAAGGAACACCGAUGGCGAAGGCACUUUACUGGGCUAUUACUAACACUCAGAGACGAAAGCUAGGGUAGCAAAUGGGAUUAGAUACCCCAGUAGUCCUAGCUGUAAACAAUGGAUACUAGAUGUUGAACAGAUCGACCUGUGCAGUAUCAAAGCUAACGCGUUAAGUA
rnacentral:rRNA from 1 species